GGGGUGCUAGGACUGGAGGAUUGCAUGGACAAGUUACCCACUUUUCCACCCAGGCCAAGGUUCCUAAACCCCAGUGAAUUUGGAUGAGCCCCUUAAUUGGCAGCCGUCCCUCUCAGAUGUGAACCUGUAAGUUAGGACCUGGAAUUUCCCGCUUAGGUAGCCAGUGAGGGAGAUUUUUCCUGCUUAGCCCUUAUUUAUCUAAGGCAGUAGCCGUUCCUUUAAGCAAAAGUAACCACCGCAAUGAAAAAACAAUAUUACACAGAUGAAUUGGAAAGCCACUAUUAUUAUGUCAUAUAAUCAAGACAAGAUUCUGACGCUCGGUUAAAAAGACCAACUUGGGGUUUCCUUCUGGAGGAGAAAGUCAGCGCCUCUUCGUGGCAGGCAACGAUCUGGUUAUUCCUCUGAUUGCAUCAUAAAGGAAAAUGUCUGUAUUCGCCUCACAUUUCUAAAAGAGGUGUGCCAUCUCCAUCUGGAAUGCCCUUCCUGUCAUUUCUCCUGCAGACCCAGCUCUCCCACAACCUCCUUCAAGAAGUCUUCCCUGAUUCCAGCCAGAGGGAUGGAGCCCUCCAAAGACCCCAAAGUACUUUCCACCCUUUUAUUCAUGGUAUUUGUUGUUUGUGGGCCUGAAUCCUCUCCUUGCUGAUUGGCAAGCUUCUUUGGGCUGGGACAAGGUCUUUUUCACUGUGCAGGCUGCGCAGGACCACACAUGUUUAACCUCUGUCUCUGGGCCUUCGAUCUUGAGGCCAUGUGGGGAUUACAACCAAUGUAUGGGGUGAGGAGACCCAGGAUUCAGUGGAGAACUCAGUGUGUAGUUGGCUUGGGCAUCUCUCUCUCUCUUUUUUUUGGUGAGGAAGAUUGGCCCUGAGCUGACAUCUGUUGCCAAUCUUCCUCUUUUUGCUUGAGGAAGAUUAUUGCUGAGCUAACAUCUGUGCCCAUCUUCCUCUAUUUUGUAUGUAGGAUGCUGCCACAGCAUGGCUUGAUGAGUGAUGUGUAGGUCUGUGCCCAGGAUCUGAACCCACAAACCCCAGGCUGCUGAAGCGGAGUUCGUGAACUUAACUAUUAUGCCACUGAGCCAGCCCCUGGGCACGUACGUCUGUUGGUUCUGGGUUCCAGGUCCUCCAUCUGUGCAAUGAGGGAGCUGGGUUAGGUGACUUCCAAAGUCCUUCCAGGCUUGACCAUUUUAUAAAUAAAUAGAAGGCACUAAAUCCUUCGGAAAGUAAU
rnacentral:lncRNA from 1 species